rnacentral:rRNA from 1 species
UACGAAGGGUGCGAGCGUUAUUCGGAGUGAUUGGGUGUAAAGGGUGCGUAGGCGGUAUGCUAAGUCGAUUGUUAAAUCCCUCAGCCUAACUGAGGGUCAGCAAGCGAUACUGGUGUGCUAGAGGAUGGAAGAGAGAAGUGGAAUUCUCGGAGUAGCGGUAAAAUGCGUAGAUCUCGAGAGGAACACCAAUGGCGAAGGCAGCUUCUUGGUCCAUUCCUGACGCUGAGGCACGAAAGCAUGGGGAGCAAACAGGAUUAGAUACCCUGGUAGUCCAUGCUGUAAACGAUGGUCACUAGACGUUGGUCCCGCUAUGCGGGAGCAGUGUCGUAGCUAACGCGUUAAGUGGCCCGCCUGGGGACUACGGUCGCAAGAUUAAA